rnacentral:rRNA from 1 species
UACGGAGGGUGCAAACGUUGCUCGGAAUUAUUGGGCGUAAAGCGCACGUAGGCGGUCCAGUAAGUCGGAUGUGAAAUCCCUCGGCUCAACCGAGGAAGUGCAUCCGAAACUGCUGGGCUUGAGUACGGAAGAGGGUCUCGGAAUUCCCGGUGUAGAGGUGAAAUUCGUAGAUAUCGGGAGGAACACCAGUGGCGAAGGCGGAGACCUGGGCCGAUACUGACGCUGAGGUGCGAAAGCGUGGGGGGCAAACAGG